rnacentral:tRNA from 1 species
UUAUAUAGUUUAAAAAAAACUUUACAUUUUCAUUGUAAAAAUAAAAAUAUAUUUUUUAUAAAUA